rnacentral:rRNA from 1 species
AUGUCAGGCCGAUGGGGUCACCGAGUUGUGGUGUAUUGCGGUGAACCACAAUACUUCUUUUUAAAUGACACUCUGCAUGUCACUGCCUAUGAUUCUCGUUUGGAGACAUUUGACUUGAACCAUAAUUCAUUAAACAUGAUAGUUACAGUGGACACGGGCGGGAAUACUUGGAGGACAACUCGACAGCCGCCCCAGACUGAAUUCACUUUCAUUGGGCUCUCUCAGGGACGCUUACAUGGUAUUGAGAUGGAAGAUGGUAAUGGUUGCCGGAUAUCAGUUUGGAUUCUUGAGGAUUAUGCUAGUGGGCGGUGGACCUUAAAGCACACAACCAGCAUUCUGGAUCUGCUAGGAAGGCCUUGUCUAGAGCACAGAGAGUACUACGUAUUUGUUGCACUCCAUCCAGAACGUAACCUUAUUUUUUUUAAUGGCGGGCUGGAACGAGAACGGACACUUAUGUCGUAUGAUAUGGAUACCCAGAAGUUGCAUGUUAUCUGCAAUCUUGAAGAUUAUCAAAUGCAAAAUUUUCGACCUUACACUCCAUGCUUUGUGGAAUGGCCGCUGUCAAAUGCUCACUGA